GAGCGCUUCCCGAAGCAAUUUUUCUGAGUUUUGAUAUUCCCCGAAGAGGAGGGAAUCGCCAUUGCAGUUUCUGUUUUUUCACCGAGAAGGAGAAAUCUUCACCUACGGUGCUAUUUCCUUCUGCAGCGACGAUAAAGCGGUAGACUGAAUCGAAAAGAGAGAGAUAUGAGAGGCGGCGAAGGUUAAACCAGAAGAUGGAGAGGGAGGAUUGAAGGAAAGAAGAAGAUAAAACUUAUCGUAAAAGUAAAAGUAUCUGGGCAAAUGAAGAGACUGCCACUAAUUUUAGGAUAACUUUUUUUGCAUUAUCAUGAAAAGACAAUUUUACCCAGAUGUAUUUUGGCGGAAAAAUUCAGAUAGACUACUUUCCUUUAGUAUAAUAGAUAGAUU
rnacentral:lncRNA from 1 species